UGCAACGCGAAGAACCUUACCAAGGCUUGACAUACUACAGAUUUCUUUGAAAGAGGAAAGUGCCUUCGGGAAUGUAGAUACAGGUGGUGCAUGGCUGUCGUCAGCUCGUGUCGUGAGAUGUUGGGUUAAGUCCCGCAACGAGCGCAACCCUUAUUUUUAGUUGCUAAUUUAUUUUAGGUUUUCUAGAAAGACUGCCAGUGACAAACCGGAGGAAGGUGAGGAUGACGUCAAGUCAGCAUGCCCCUUAUGCCUUGGGCUACACACGUGCUACAAUGGUUAAGACAAAGAGUUGCGAGCUCGCGAGAGUCAGCUAAUCUUAUAGACUUAGCCUAAGUUCGGAUUGUAGGCUGCAACUCGCCUGCAUGAAGUCGGAAUCGCUAGUAAUCGCUGGUCAGCCAUACAGCGGUGAAUCCGUUCCCGGGCCUUGUACACACCGCCCGUCACA
rnacentral:rRNA from 1 species